CUCAUGUAGAGUUUGAUCCUAACUCAGGAUGAAUGCUAACAGCAUGCUUAACAAACAGGAAGUGGUGUUUCCAGUGGCGGACGAGUGAGUAACGCAUAAGAACUUGCCCUUGGGAGAGGAAUAACAGUUGGAAACGACUGCUAAUACUCCAUAGGCUGAGGAGUAAAAGGAGGAAUCCUCCCAAGGAGGGGUUCGCAUCUGAUUAAUUAGUUGGUGAGGCAACAGCUUAACAAGCCAAUAAUCAGUAGCUAGUCUGAAAGGAUGAUUGGUCACACUGGGGCUGAGACACAGCCCAGACUCCUACGGGAGGCAGUAAUGGGGAAUUUUCCGCAAUGGGCAAAAAGUUUGACAGAGCAAUGCCAUAUGGAGGUAGAAGGGCCAUGGAUCGUGAACUUCUUUUCCCAAAGAAGAAGCAAUGAUGGUAUCUGGGAAAUAAGCAUCGGCUAACUCUAUGCCAGCAACCAUGGUAAUACAGAGGAUGCAAGUGUUAUUUGGAAUGAUUGAGCGUAAAACGUCUGUAGAUGGCUUUUUGAGGCUGCCGUCAAAUCCCAGGGCUCAACCCUGGACAAGUAGUAGAAACUACCAAGCUAAAGUAUAGUAAGGGUAGAGGGAAUUUUCGGUGGAGCGGUGAAAUGCAUGGAGACUGGAAAGAACACCAACGGUGAAAGCACUAUGCUAGGUCGACAUUGACACUAAGAGUUGAAAGCUAGGGGAGCGAAUGGGAUUAGAUACUCCAAUAGUCCUAGCUGUAAACAAUGGAUACUAGACACUAUGCGUAUCAACCCAUGUAGUGUUGUAGUUAACGCAUUACGUAUCUCGCUUGGGGAGUAGGUUCGCAAGAAUGAAACUCAAAGGAAUUGACCAGGGCCUGCACAAGUGGUGGAGCAUGUGAUUUAAUUCAACGAAAAGCGAAGAACCUUACCAAGGCUUGAUAUGCCGCAAAUCCUCUUGAAAGAGAGAGGUGCCUUCAAGAACGCAGACACAGGUAGUGCAUGGCUAUCAUCAGCUUAUGUCGUAAGGUGUUGGGUUAAGUCUCGCAAUGAGCACCACCCUCGUGUUUAGUUGCCACCCUUGAGUCUAGAACCCCGAAUAGACUGCCGGUGAUAAGCCAGAGGAAGGUGAGGAUGGCGUUAAGUCAUCAUGGCCCAUAUGCCCUAGGCAACACACGUGUUACAAUGGCCGGGACAAAGGAUCGCGAUCCUGCGAGGGUGAGCUAACUCCAAAACCUCAUACUCAGUUUGGAUUGCAGGCUGCAACUCGCCUGCAUAAAGCCAAAAUUGCUAGUAAUCACCGAUCUGCCAUACGGCGGUGAAUUCGUUCUCGGGCCUUGUACACACUGCCCGUCACACUAUGGGAGCUGGCCAUGCCUGAAGUCAUUACCUUAACCGCAAGGAGGGGGAUGCCAAAGGCAGGGCUAGUGACUAAAGUGAAGUGAUAACAAGGUAGCCAUAUUGGAAGGUGAGGUUGGAUCACCUCCUUU
rfam:Eucalyptus grandis cultivar BRASTZ1 unplaced genomic scaffold scaffold_24, whole genome shotgun sequence.